rnacentral:rRNA from 1 species
UACGUAGGGUCCAAGCGUUAUCCGGAUUUACUGGGCGUAAAGAGCGCGUAGGCGGUCUGUUAAGUGUAGAGUGAAAUCUCUGGGCUCACCCCAGAAACUGCUCUGCAUACUGGCAGACUUGAGGGAUGCAGAGGUUUGUGGAAUUCCUGGUGUAGCGGUGAAAUGCGUUGAUAUCAGGAGGAACACCCAUGGCGAAGGCAGCAAACUGGGCAUCAUCUGACGCUGAGGCGCGAAAGCGUGGGUAGCAAACAGG